GACGUCGCCGACGUUGCCACCGCACUGGUGGAAUGACAUGAUGGCCUGCAGCUUGAGCCCGGCCUCGUGCACCAGGUCGAAGACCUGCUUGUAGGCGCUCCAGUCGUACGCCUUGGGGCCCUUGCCCUCCACCAGCCCCCACCAGACGUCUAUCAUGACGCCGUCCACGCCGGCCUCCGUCAGCUUCUUCAGCUGCGCCCUGAUCUCGUCGCCCUUCUCGAAUUUGUUGUCGACGCUCACGACGUCCAGCUAUUCCCACAACGAAAGUGAAGGCAAGGGGAGGUCGAGGGGUCUAUUUAUACUGCGAAAGAGGGAUCGGAGGAGGCGCCCGGGGUCCUUCUCCAGCGAGGCGAGGUGAACUGGUUGAUUUUGGUUACCGCUCACAGCCCAGCUUCAGGGUUGAUAUCAUAUUUUCCUUGUCACUGGAAGAAGAUUGGGUAUCUGAAUGUUCUGAUUCGUUCACGUGUGUUUAGAGCGGCAAGCCAACAGUAUCAGGUUUAAAUACGUUAUCCGACAAAACGAAAAUAUAUUGACAGGGUCAUCCCUUGUUUUCCUUUCCAUCACGCUUAGAUGACUAGGACAAAGUUCUUCACCCCUCCAAGCUUCACCGUCCAGUCUGUGGAUUAAGCCAAAACUUGAAGCCACAUGCCCAUAAAUAUAUCCUUUUGUUUAUAAGCCAAGUGUAAAAGUAGAAAAAUAAACCCAACCAGACACCCCCUAAUAUGUGGUGAUUUGGGGGCCUGUGUGGUCGCCCACCUCACCCUCUCCAUCAACGGGCCUGUCCUCCGGUGACCAGUGGCGGGGAGGCGAAUUCUAGUGCCUCGGCUCCGACUAGUAGUUUAGGUUAGGGAUUUUUAGUCGUUGCAAAUGACAACUCUUCAUCAUUGAGUAGGUCUUUUGGGUUUUGAUCCUCGAUUUCGUUUGUCAUGACCGAGUCGAUGGAACUCUGGUUUAUAUUCCUACCGUCUCUUGGGACGAUGAGGUUAGGGUUUCUUAUCAUAGGUUCGGCACAGUAUCUGAUGUCAGACACUUCAAAUCGAUUCAACGUCAUGACUGGGGCUUUAGGGCGGUGAUUCUUAAGGGCACGCGCACGAAGACUUUUCAGUUGUCAUCAACAAGGUUAGGAUGACUCUGGUGUAGGAGAGGCUCGUUCCGGCAAUGGUAGUGGUCGUUCGGUGGUCUGAGGACCUCAAUGUAUUUUUUUUAUUAUGUUUGGGGUGCUUUGUACUUUUGGUGAACUUUAUAAUAUAACCGUGUCCUUUUGAA